CUGUCAGCGCCUGUCAGCUCGCCGGCCGCCACCACCUCUCGCGAGAGGAGCGGCGGCGGUGGGGGAUGAGCGGGCCUUGCAGGCUCCGCGGGCUGCGGGAAUGCAAGCCGCGAGAGCGGCCGGAGGACCGGGCUGCUGCACAUGGCGGGAGAAGCGGCCGCCCGCGCCCCCUCUCGCUCCCGGCAGCUGCUUAUAGGGCUGCGCUGGCGGGGUCGGCCCGUGGGAUGGAGGCUAGGCGGCAGGGGGACUCCGAGGCCCGGCCCGGCGGCUGCAGCUCUAGUUCUGGCUCUGUUCCGCCCGGUGGCCCCUCGCCUCCUCACAGCCCUGCAAAACCCCCAGCCCCGCUUUGAGUCGCCUCGUCUUGGAUCUUUGCCGUACGCCACCUAGCGGCUCCUUAGCGUUGGCCGGGUGUAAAGCGUCCGGAUGUACGGCUUGGGCAGACAUAAACACUGCAUGAUCAACACCUGCAUAGACUAUCAGAAGCCACAAUCAGGUUGGCCUCACUCAUGCUGCGGGAGGGCCGGAGCACCAGUCCAAGUGAAACAGGUGACGAAUGGAGCCCUAACACUUCUGGCACCUUAGAAGAAGAAAGAGGGAGCUGUGUGAGAAGAGUAUGCUAAUGGGAAGAAAAUGUGGCACAGAAAAGUCCCACGACGGAAGAGUACAUCAUCAUAGUUGAAAGACAGUAGGGGCACAUGACUCUGAGGGAGAACCUCAUGGAAAUGAAAGAAAAAACCCAGGGGUAUCAUUAAUAGUAAACAAAUUUUGUGAUGUGCAUCCAUCAAAUGUGAAAUAAUGCUAAAUGCUGUCUUUGAAGAAAGCAAAGAAUUGAGGUCUCCUUGAAAAACAAGGAAAUAGAGAACCCAACAGUAAUAAGACGGGUGAGGAAAAUGCUGUCCUGUCAAAACUGAAAGGACCAAGGAAGUUCAGAAAUACUAGUGUAUGGGAAACUGGCAAGAGUCAGAGGAAAAUGGGCCAGGCCUUCGUAAAGGUCCUGGGACUUCACAUGACCUGUGAGAAGGGUGAGAGAAUCUGUAACUUUAAAGGAGAAUAAACAGAACACAUGCUCCAAAUAUGGCCAAAUAAAAUGCCAUUAAUACUAAAAAAUACACUCUGAAGAAAAAAAGAGAAAUUAAUAUUCACUUUAAACUGUAACUUAAAUUAUUUCUUGCAUACCACUGGUUAAAACAUUAACACAGUAGAGUCUGGGUGUCAUUGGUGAACAAAAGUGUAACACAUUAAAUAAAA